UGGGGAAUAUUGCACAAUGGGCGCAAGCCUGAUGCAGCCAUGCCGCGUGUAUGAAGAAGGCCUUCGGGUUGUAAAGUACUUUCAGCGAGGAGGAAGGCAUUAAGGUUAAUAACCUUGGUGAUUGACGUUACUCGCAGAAGAAGCACAGGCUAACUCCGUGCCAGCAGCCGCGGUAAUACGGAGGGUGCAAGCGUUAAUCGGAAUUACUGGGCGUAAAGCGCACGCAGGCGGUCUGUCAAGUCGGAUGUGAAAUCCCCGGGCUCAACCUGGGAACUGCAUUCGAAACUGGCAGGCUAGAGUCUUGUAGAGGGGGGUAGAAUUCCAGGUGUAGCGGUGAAAUGCGUAGAGAUCUGGAGGAAUACCGGUGGCGAAGGCGGCCCCCUGGACAAAGACUGACGCUCAGGUGCGAAAGCGUGGGGAGCAAACA
rnacentral:rRNA from 1 species